CUCAAGUCGUACGAGAAAUCCUGAGCAAUCGGGAGAGUAAAGUGGCGCACGGGUGAGUAACGCGUGGGUAACCUACCCUUAAAUUUGGGAUAACUCCGCGAAAGCGGGGCUAAUACCGAAUAAUAUUCCAAUUUCCUCGGGAGUUGGAAUCAAAGGUGGCCUCUGCAUGCAAGCUAUCAUUUAAGGAUGGGCCCGCGUGCCAUUAGCUUGUUGGUAGGGUAAUGGCCUACCAAGGCAACGAUGGUUAGCUGGUCUGAGAGGAUGGCCAGCCACACUGGAACUGAGACACGGUCCAGACUCCUACGGGAGGCAGCAGUGGGGAAUCUUGCGCAAUGGGGGAAACCCUGACGCAGCAACGCCGCGUGGGUGAUGAAGGUCUUCGGGUCGUAAAGCCCUGUCAGGUGGGAAGAAACUUGUCGAUGUGAAUACCAUCGGCACUUGACG
rnacentral:rRNA from 1 species